rnacentral:lncRNA from 1 species
AAUCAGGCAAACAGGGUGAAGCGGCGGGGGUGAGGCAGUCUAAAAACAGGAUUAGAAAGCCAGGCAGAGAUCGACCGACACAGUCCUAUCAGACCAUCGGCUGAACCAAGGGCCAUCCCAAAGCAAGGUCCCGUCGUGAUCAAGGUGAUCCAGUUGUAACAGCAAAGCUCCCCAGGCAAUUUCAAGAGGUGCUGUCAAAUCCCUCAAAAAUCACCAGGAGGAGGAGGGUCUCAGAAGACGGCAGAUGCCACCAGUCUGGAGUUCUAAGCAGCUGUUACAAGACGGGGUGACAAUGACGACGUGGAGGAACCGGUGUUUCCUUUCCAAAGGUGAGCUGAGGAUUUCGACUCUGGUGGAGGAACAAGGAUGGAGUUGUGCCAUGGAUGGGUGGGUGGGAGAAUACAUCAACCAACCAACCAACCAACCAACCAACCAACCAACCAACCAACCAACCAACCAACCAACCAACCAACCAACCAACCAACCAACCAACCAACCAAUCAAUCAAAUCAACCAAACAACCAAACAACCAAACAACCAAACAACCAAACAACCAAACAAUCAAAUAUAUCACAUUAUCUUGGGAUACAAGUGUCUGGCAAAGCUUCUCUAGACAACCCAACGGGUUGAUGAUGCUGGGAAUUGUCCAGUGUUGAUUUCCAUGUUUGCAAAUGGAUGACCCCCCCUUCUGCUUCCUCCAUCUCCCACCUUUUUUUAACCCAUGGGGGCGGGAUUCCCCCAUUGAUUACAGCAAGACCACAGGCAGAGAUAAGGCUGCGUCUACUGUGUUUCCCCCCCUCUUCCCCCACCUGCUUAUUCACUCAGCAUCUCUGCCUCGAGCUACAGUUUCAUAAACUCAUCAGCUGAACAGCAUGGAAUAGAAACCCUGUCAAAGUCAUCUUUUAACAAGCUGACGUUUGUAGGUUUUUGCAAACCUCUCCCACCCCCCAAUGGGAGAACAAACGGUGUUUAAUCUCUCAACAAAGAGAGAUGAGUUCAAAGACCUCCUCCCUGAAA